UGAAGAUGAGCUCUGCUGCCCUGGGUUCUCCCAACUACUGAAGUCGUCAUCAGAGGCACACAUCCUUAACUGUCUCCGACGGCUGUGGACCCCACUCCGAGGCUUCUGUGUUACAGCUUCAUUGAUGAUCCUGGCAUAUCCAGAGAUACAUGAAGACUGAUCUAAGUCCUUCCUGCUAAGUAAAGAGCCUCCAGGUAGCAGCUUGGGUAAGGAAGACCGAUCCUCAGACGAAUAGAAAUAUCACUAUAGUUAUAGUGUGACAGGCGAGCUAUUAUACUAUUAUGUUAAACAAUUUUAGCGUUCAAGACACACUAAACUGUGGAACAUCCAUGGAAUGUGAAAAACAGCAGAAGGUCGCUUUCACAACUCCUGUCCUCACCUCAAGCAGGACUCAGACCUAGGAAGGCUUCUCUGACCUCCCUCUGAAGCAGUUGAACGAACCCUGGAGAAAGGCACGCAACCUUGGACCAAAAGAAACGCCUCGUGUCGGAACACAAAGGGGCACGGUGAGAGAAUCCCAGCACAGCUCUGCUAAGCUACCCUGAGUUUAUUACCUUGAGUUUGCGACGGAGAAGUGUGGUGAAAUGCAGGGUGGUGUGAUCUGAUGGUGGGAUGGAAACAGUAAACAUAAAUAUUCAAAACAUAAAUAUUCAAAACAAAUACAGGAUUACUUCAUUAUUUUGGCUCCCAUGUCACCCAAAACUUAAGUCAACCUCUCUUCUCGCUUUUUCUUCUUCUCGCUUUUUCUCCCUUUUCUUCCUCCAAGUCUCUCCCCCCCGCCCCCCUUCUCAAAAAUUUCCUGCUAUGUAGCCUAAGCUGGCCUGAAACUCGCGGUGAUCCUUCUGCCUCAGCUCUCAAACACUGGAAUUAUAGGUUAAUGCCACCACACCCAAUCCUGCAUUUCUCUUAUUAAUCUGUCUUUUCAUAGAUGGGUCUUAGUCAUAGACCUAGAAAUGGGUGAUACUGAGAACAAUUUCCUACUGUGAAACAUUAGUCACCAAAUAUUCUCUAGGGUACUGGGCUCCCCUACAGUGUUAUUAAUCAAGGAACACGGAGAAGGAAGAUGAGGGGCUAUAACACCAUCAGUUUAUGUGGCCAACUGGAGCUGGCUGGCUUCAAGCUGUUCCCGGAUCUCAGGAACGCUACCUAGGGGCUACAUCUAUGGGCUGGUAUUUUGAGGAUGCCCCUCAUCCCUAAAUAUAAUGAAGUGUUCUAGUCCUGACAAACAGUUGUAGGUCAUCACACAUCCUAGAAGGUGCGUGCAUCUCAGGGCUGCAAAGGCUGUGCAGAUGUCAGGGCAAGUUAUGGCUGACAAAUCUGGUGGUUCAGCCUCCCCCUUUCUCUAAAUUCUUGGUUUGUUUUCCUUCCAUCAUCUAUCUACUCUUUGUCAAAAAGAUUUUUUUUUUUUUUUUGCUUUGGGGUGCAAUGGGGAUUUUUGAAACUUUCCUGACCUGUCUUUUAUUUCUCUUUCAUCAGUUGUAGAUAAAAUGUGGGAUUUUCUUCCUCCUCUUUUAAGACUAUGGGGUGGAAAAGCAAUAACGGGAAGUGUCACACACACAACACACACACACACACACACACACACACACACACACACACACACACACACAGCUGACAAGUGUUGUCAGAAAUCUUUUUCCCUGGGCAGCCUUGGUGAUCCUUAUAUAUAUAUUUCUCUCUCCAGGACACUUGACUCAUUUACUGACCUCAUUCCUGGUGAUGAAAGUAGCUAAGGGUUACUGGAGGGUGAGGUGCCGGGGUGGGGGUGGUGGUGGUGGAUUGGAGGUGGUGAGAGGCCAGGUCCCUGACUGCAGUAUUUAUUUGCAGUGAAAGGGUAACUCCGAGCAGCAGAACCAUGCGAGGCUCUAAGAAGGAACUGGUGGACAGAUGGCAAAAUAGACUCAGAGUCACACUGUCCACAGGGGUCUCCUAUAGCCAGAGGGUCUGCGCUCAGGGUGCUAUGAACACAUCGCUUUGUGUUAUCUUCAUCCUUGUCUACACAGCGGUAACUCCUGACUACGGUUUUUCUCUCCUUGUGUCCCUACAGAAGCAGCCCAAUGUUGAGAAAAACAAGGGAUGCUCCUUCACUUUGGGCUUGAUCUGGUUUCUUAGGUUUUUGUUGCUGUUAUUGUUGGUUUUGUUUUGUUUUUGUCUUGUUUUUGUUUUGUUUUUGUCUUGUUUUUGUUCUUUCUUAGGUUCCUGCUCACAAGCCUUGCAUCUCGGCACUGAGUAGAGGCUGGGGGAUAUGUUUCACAGAUGAUUGUAUGUAUCUAGGGUGCAGCUUCUCUUUCAUCCUAAUCCUUUUUUCAAAGGUCUUCACUUUUUCUUUGGCCUAAAGCAGCUUUCGCCUUCAUGGGGGCUGAUGUUGGUUGACCAGACAGAUCCUCAAGUGUCACAUUUUCUCCUUUCUCCUCGACACUGUCAGCAAGUUUGGGCUCCUGUGACUAAUGAGACUAUGGGGGGAACUUUCCCACGUCUUUCUUCUUUGGUAACAUUAGAAACAUAUUCCCUUUUAUCCUUUGAGAGUUGGAGUGGAUGUUUGCAAUAAAGUCAGAUUGUAAAGAGAAAUAGCCUUUUGUAAGUGUGUGUGUGUGUGUGUGUGUGUGCGUGUGUAUGUAUGUGUGUGAGCAUAGGUGUAUGUGGAAAUGCAAAGACCAAAGUGAGAUAUCAGGAGUGCUGCCUAGCUACUCUCUUACUUUAUUUGUUGAGACAGUCUCUCAUUGAACUCAAAGAGCUGACCUCUUUGGCUAGAUUGGCUGGCCAGGGAUCUGCCUGUCUUCACCUUCUCAGCCUUG
rnacentral:lncRNA from 1 species